UACGGAGGGUGCAAGCGUUGUCCGGAAUUAUUGGGCGUAAAGAGCUCGUAGGCGGUUUGUCGCGUCUGCUGUGAAAAUCCGAGGCUCAACCUCGGACCUGCAGUGGGUACGGGCAGACUAGAGUGUGGUAGGGGAGACUGGAAUUCCUGGUGUAGCGGUGGAAUGCGCAGAUAUCAGGAGGAACACCAAUGGCGAAGGCAGGUCUCUGGGCAUUAACUGACGCUGAGGAGCGAAAGCAUGGGGAGCGAACAGG
rnacentral:rRNA from 1 species